GGNUGAGUAAUGCCUANCGAAUCUGCCUGGUAGUGGGGGAUAACGUUCGGAAACGGACGCUAAUACCGCAUACGUCCUACGGGAGAAAGCAGGGGACCUUCGGGCCUUGCGCUAUCAGAUGAGCCUAGGUCGGAUUAGCUAGUUGGUGGGGUAAUGGCUCACCAAGGCGACGAUCCGUAACUGGUCUGAGAGGAUGAUCAGAUCACACUGGAACUGAGACACGGUCCANACUCCUACGGGAGGCAGCAGUGGGGAAUAUUGGACAAUGNGCGAAAGCCUGAUCCAGCCAUGCCGCGUGUGUGAAGAAGGUCUUCGGAUUGUAAAGCACUUUAAGUUGGGAGGAAGGGUUGUAGAUUAAUACUCUGCAAUUUUGACGUUACCGACAGAAUAAGCACCGGCUAACUCUGUGCCAGCAGCCGCGGUAAUACAGAGGGUGCAAGCGUUAAUCGGAAUUACUGGGCGUAAAGCGCGCGUAGGUGGUUAGUUAAGUUGGAUGUGAAAUCCCCGGGCUCAACCUGGGAACUGCAUUCAAAACUGACUGACUAGAGUAUGGUAGAGGGUGGUGGAAUUUCCUGUGUAGCGGUGAAAUGCGUAGAUAUAGGAAGGAACACCAGUGGCGAAGGCGACCACCUGGACUGAUACUGACACUGAGGUGCGAAAGCGUGGGGAGCAAACAGGAUUAGAUACCCUGGUAGUCCACGCCGUAAACGA
rnacentral:rRNA from 1 species